UACGUAGGGGGGCAAGCGUUGUCCGGAUUUAUUGGGCGUAAAGAGCUCGUAGGCGGUUUGUCGCGUCUGCUGUGAAAUCCCGAGGCUCAACCUCGGGUCUGCAGUGGGUACGGGCAGACUAGAGUGCGGUAGGGGGAGAUUGGAACUCCUGGUGUAGCGGUGGAAUGCGCAGAUAUCAGGGAAGAAUACCGGAUGGCGAAGGCAGAUCUCUGGGCCGUAACUGACGCUGAGGAGCGAAAGCCAUGGGGAGCGAACAGG
rnacentral:rRNA from 1 species